CAUGACGGUUGCCUUCUAACAGCCGGAACUGCCGCUGAAGUUUGGCCAACUCUCCUUCAGCUGAUGGACAACAAUGAAAUUACCAAGACCUUCCAGGUCCAUAUCAGUGCUGUCAGAACGGAGACUGGAGGCAGAUUUGAAGUAUGGCAUCUUCACUUCUCCCUGCUGAGAAAGAGAAUGAGAAAACAAACAGAAAGACAAAAGAUCUGUGGUUUACUCCCUCCCACCUAGC